rnacentral:rRNA from 1 species
GACGAACGCUGGCGGCGUGCUUAACACAUGCAAGUCGAACGGAAAGGCCCUGCUUUUGUGGGGUGCUCGUGUGGCGAACGGGUGAGUAACACGUGAGUAACCUGCCCUUGACUUUGGGAUAACUUCACGAAACUGGGGCUAAUACCGGAUAGGAGCUCCUGCUGCAUGGGGGUGGUUGGAAAGUUUCGGCCGUUGGGGAUGGACUCGCGGCUUAUCAGCUUGUUGGUGGGGUAGUGGCUUACCAAGGCUUUGACGGGUAGCCGGCCUGAGAGGGUGACCGGCCACAUUGGGACUGAGAUACGGACCAGACUCCUACGGGAGGCAGCAGUGGAGAAUAUUGCACAGUGGGCGGGAGCCUGAUGCAGCAACGCCGCGUGCGGGAUGACGGCCUUCGGGUUGUAAACCGCUUUCGCCUGUGACGAAGCGUGAGUGACGGUAAUGGGUAAAGAAGCACCGGCUAACUACGUG